GGUUAUCCUGUGAGAUGGGCUUUGCAGAAACUGCAGAUCAGAAAGUUUAAGUAAUUUGCCCAUAGUCUCACUUUUGCUGGCCCACAGAUGUGAGAUUCAGGCUCUGUCUCUCUGGAGCCAGGGACCAUGGUUGUCUCAUUAACACAGGUUGCUGCUUAGCCAGAGUGCUGCUCAGGGGAUUGACUGGAGACGGCAGAAGGGCUUGUCUUCACACAACAACCUGGUUUAUGAAAGCGGGAUCUUCUGAGCUCCAUUACUUGAUUUCUAUCACAGGAAAAAGACGACCCAACUCCAACUGGCAAGCCAAAUGGGGAUUUUAUUGGCUCCCAGAGCUAGAAAUUUCAAGUGUAGAUUAAGCCUUAGUGCUGAUUUAAUCUAUCCAACAACUCCAAGAACCUGUGUUCUUUCUUCUGCCUGGUAAGCCUAAUUUUUUGUUAUUGAAUUACAAUUGAUUUACAAUGUUGUAUGAGUUUCAGGUGUUCUAAACCCGACUCUCCUGAUGGUCAAAGGUGGCUGUCAGUAGUCCCCACUACCGCAUGCUCCUAGUGUACUUUGAGAGCAAGAAGAAGUCUCAUUCCAGUAUUCUGAGAAUCAUCUGCCUCCUCUGGACUGGUUUAGAUCACAUUAUCACCACUGAACCAAUUGUUGAGGUUAAGGGCACGUACUGUUGACCUGUCAAUCAAGACCCAUACCUGGAACUACGGGUGGGAUCACCUCUACUUUUCCCUACAUCACUUGGGAAGAAUGAGUGCAUACAUUUUUUAAAAGUAUAUUUUCAAGCACAAAAAAAGAGGAAGCAGGGGGAAAUGAAUGCUAGCUACAAAAAGCAUGUACUAAAAUUGGUAUGUUUAUUUUCUUUGAAGCAAAAAAAAAAAAAAAAAAAAGUUGUAGGAGUAAAUGUUAUUUUGUGAUCACUCUAAGUAUCACCCAACCUUUCAGGAAUCUGUAAAAUAACUGGAUGUUAUGGUAUUCAACUUCCAAACCUCUGACAAUGAGUUCCCUAAAAUAUCCUCAGAUAUUGACUUCUUGAAAUAUACUUGGAUAUUGACUUCCUGUCUCUCUUGACAGUGCAGUGUUAAAAAAAAAAAGUCUCAAGAAUAAUUUAUUUCUUUGCACUUUCCUUUGAUUUUGUGCAAGUGUUUUAAAAAGCCUAAGAUGCUAUACCAGUGGGAGGGGCUGUCCUUUUCAUCUGCUCCUCAUGCCUAAACUAAAUCAUAUGAUGCUCAAUCAUAAAAUAAUGAGACUGACUUUUAAACAGACUCCUUAGAUGUAAGAAUGAGUACUGCACUUCUGAGCAGUCACCUAGAGAAGUGAUCUUCACAUUCCAGUGAUGUAACCAUAGCUCAAAUUGCAUUA
rnacentral:lncRNA from 1 species